CCUACGGGGGGCAGCAGUGGGGAAUAUUGCACAAUGGAGGAAACUCUGAUGCAGCGACGCCGCGUGAGCGAUGAAGGUUUUCGAAUCGUAAAGCUCUGUCCUAAGGGACGAUAAUGACGGUACCUUAGGAGGAAGCCCCGGCUAACUACGUGCCAGCAGCCGCGGUAAUACGUAGGGGGCGAGCGUUGUCCGGAUUUAUUGGGCGUAAAGGGUGCGUAGGCGGCCUUGUAAGUCAGAUGUGAAAUCUCACGGCUUAACCGUGGUAAGCAUUUGAAACUGUGAGGCUUGAGUACAGGAGAGGAGAGUGGAAUUCCUAGUGUAGCGGUGAAAUGCGUAGAUAUUAGGAGGAAUACCAGUGGCGAAGGCGACUCUCUGGACUGUAACUGACGCUGAGGCACGAAAGCGUGGGGAGCAAACAGGAUUAGAUACCCCUGUAGUC
rnacentral:rRNA from 1 species